CUUCUUUAAAGCUUCAGCAGCGUUCCUCAUUUCAGCAGCUGUAGUUGUAGUGGCAGGCUCACUGGCGUACUACAGUUGCUCGCCAGCUCAACCAUGGCUUUAAUAAUGCGGGUACUUCAAUUGUCUCUACUCCUUGAUGUGGGGUGUCAAGUACAUGCUUACAGGAUCGGAUAUGCUGAGCCGGAGAUGCCUACGUAUGGGCUGCAGCAGCCUCCUAGCUACAACCCAGCAGCAACCUCCUAGCUACAAGCCCCACCCCCAGCAGCAGCAUCCUAGCUACAAGCCCCAGCAGAAGCAUCCUAGCUACAAGCCGCAGCAGCAGCAGCAGCAUCCUAGCUACAAGCCCCAGCAGCAGCAGCAGCAUCAUCCUAGCUACAAGCCCCAGCAGCAGCAGCAGCAUCCUAGCUACAAACAGCAGCAGCAUCCUAGCGACAAACAGCAGCAGCAGCAUCCAGCAUCCUGGCCAGCAGCAGCAGCAACAUCCUAGCUACAAGCCCCAGCAGCAGCAACAUCCUAGCUACAAGCCCCAGCAGCAGCGGCAGCAGCAGCAACCAUCUAGCUACAAGCCCCAGGAGCCAGCAGCAGACCAGCAACAGCCCCAGCAGCAGCAGCCCCAGGAGCAGCAGCAGCAUCCUAGCUACAAGCCCCAGCAGCAGCAGCAACAUCCUAGCUACAAGCCCCAGCAGCAGCAGCAUCCAUUUACAAGCCCCAGCAGCAGCAGCAGCGACCAGCAACAGCAGCAGCAGCAUCCUAGCACAAACAGCAGCAUCCUAGCGACAAGCCACAGCAGCAGCAGCAACAUCCUAGCGACAAGCCCCAGCAGCAGCAACAUCCUAGCUACAAGCCCAGCAGCAGCAGCAUCCCAGCUACAAGCCCCAGCAGCAGCAGCAGCAUCCCAUUUACAAGCCCCAGCAGCAGCAGCAGCAGCAGCAGCAGCAGCCUUCAGCUACAAGCCACAGCAGCAGCAGCAGCAGCCAGCAGCAGCAGCAGCAGCAGCAGCAGCAGCAGCAGCAGCAGCAGCAGCAUCCUAGCUACAAGCCCCAGCAGCAGCAGCAACAUCCUAGCUACAAGCCCCAGCAGCAGCAGCAGCAGCAUCCUAGCUACAAGCCCCAGCAGCAGCAGCAGCAGCAACAUCCUAGCUACAAGCCCCAGCAGCAGCAGCAGCAGCAACAUCCUAGCUACAAGCCCCAGCAGCAGCAGCCUUCUAGCUACAAGCCCCAGGAGCCAGCAGCAGCCACAGGAGCCUAGCUACGACCAGCAACAGCAGCAGCAGCAGCAUCCUAGCUACAAGCCCCAGCAGCAGCAGCAUCCAGCGACAAGCAGCAGCAGCAUCCUAGCUACAAGCCCCAGCAGCAGCAGCAGCAUCCUAGCCAAGCCCCAGCAGAAGCAGCAACAUCCCAGCUACAAGCCCCAGCAGCAGCAGCAAAUGCAGCAGCAUCAGCAGCCUGCCAAGAUAUCAGCGGUCAAAGAAC
ensembl:lncRNA